GACGACAAGAAUUUAGAAGAGGGAAAAUGUUAUCUAAAGGUGAAAAGUUUCGAAUUCGUCUCGGAAGUUUGUAAGAAAGUGGUAGGAUAUUCAAUCUUUUCUGAUCUUUGAUUACUUUUUUUCUCAUCCACCAUUUCAAUGAGUGUAUGUCAUGUAAGUUUAUCAUCAACAAAUUUUAACAUUAAUCAACAGUGGGGAAAAGCCUGCAGGUGUGCAAGGUGCUGUCUUCACCUUAUUUUCCUCAAGUGAGGUGAUCACCAAUACAUGAAGCUUUAAGGUGUUUCCAAGUAUUUACUUCAACAGAAUUUACUUUUAUAUGAUUUGAUGUAGAAGGGCUUAUAAUUGAAGAACAGGGAUGAAAAGGAAGGCUUGUUCCUAUCUGCAUCUUCGCUCGAGUCUUUUCGGUACCAACCUAUAAGCUAUCGCCAUCAAAGGACUCUGAACCCAUCUACACAAUCCUCCUCCAUGUUGACCAGCUUUAGUUCGAUGGUCGUUUUGAAUUUUCUUUUUGUCGAACUGUCGUGGACUCUUCGAGUUAGUUUUUGCUAUGGAGUCAACCAAAAGUCUAGCACCCAUUCUACCUUUUAUUCCCCUGAAUUCUGUGUUUAGAAAGCUAACUCAAGAAGAUUAGCAACAUGUUUUCUAUGAUUCACAAUUUGGCUGCUGGUUGAUGGCUCACACAGAUUGAAAUCUUUCUUUGAAUCUUGUGAUGGCAUUGCCAUUGUGAUUCAAACACUAGAAAAUUGUAACAGUCCCUACCAAAUGAAACAUUCACUGAUUUUCUGGCCCAUUGGCAGUGAUUCCUCAACUUAAACCUUACACCCUAAUGCGCCAUAUAACAUAUCUACUGCAGUCCUAGUGGUGAUACCAUGCUCAUGGUGACAUUGCUAAGAGAAGAUCUUAAAGGCAAAAAUAAACUUUAGGCAGCAAUCCCUUCCGACCAGAAGAGUUGAAUACAAGGCAUUUUCAAUCAAAGCUUCGUUCAGGUUCUUCCAUCAAUAGCCUUGCUUAACUCCUUGUUCGGUAAACUAGUCGCUCGUUGUCAACUUUCUGUUGUCUUUCAAUCCAUUAAUGGUGUGCCAAGGUUACACAUCCUUAUGUUCAAGACAUUUUUUAAUUGUUAUACAUCCUUUACAAUUCCUCUUGGUGAUAAAAUUUUAUCUGCUAAGCAUAUUGAAAA